UAAGCAAGGAUUCCCCCAGUAACGGCGAGUGAAGCGGGAACAGCUCAAAUUUGAAAUCUCCGACGCUUGCGUCGGCGAGUUGUAGUUGCGAGAAGCACUUUCUCGGCGGAUCGGAUGCGCCUAAGUUGCUUGGAACAGUACGUCGCAGAGGGUGACAACCCCGUCUGUGGCGCGUCCGGCCGCUCACGAUGUGCUUUCGAAGAGUCGGGUUGUUUGGGAAUGCAGCCCAAAACGGGUGGUAAACUCCAUCUAAAGCUAAAUACUGACGUGAGACCGAUAGCGAACAAGUACCGUGAGGGAAAGAUGAAAAGAACUUUGAAAAGAGAGUUAAAAAGUACGUGAAACCGUUGAAAGGGAAACGAAUGGACUCAGCAAUGCGCCGCUCGAGAUUCAGCCGGCCGGCGGGGUCGGCCCGGGGUUUGCGGAUCCGAACGGACCGCGGUCUUGGGCUCGUCCCCGUCGACCGUCGCACUUCUCUUGGGCGCGCGUCAACGUCGGUCGAUUGUGGGUCUGAAGGGUUCCGGGAAGGUGAGUGCGCCAGCCCGGUUCUCGGAUCGGCUCGGAGUCGACCGAGGCGGUCGCAGCGCAUGCCUCUUCUGGCUAGGGUCCCGUUCUUCCGGCCGGUCGUCGACCGCGGUGGACUGCUUGCAGUGCUCCGCGACUGCUGCCGGUCGUUGGGGCGGUGAUCUCGUAGAAUGCGCUUAGGACGUUGGCGGUCAUAUGGGUCC
rnacentral:rRNA from 1 species